rnacentral:rRNA from 1 species
CGAAGGGUGCGAGCGUUGUUCGGACUUACUGGGCGUAAAGGGUUCGUAGGCGGGAGUCUAAGUAGCGUGUGAAAUCCCCGAGCUCAACUCGGGACGUGCACGCUAAACUGGGCUUCUUGAGUAUCGGAGAGGGUCAUGGAAUUGCUGGUGUAGGAGUGACAUCCGUAGAGAUCAGCAGGAACACCGGAGGCGUAAGCGAUGACCUGGCCGAAUACUGACGCUGAGGAACGAAAGCGUGGGGAGCAAACAGGAUUAGAUACCCUGGUAGUCCACGCCCUAAACGAUGUUCACUAGAUGUUGGGGGAGUUGACCCCCUCAGUAUCGCAGCACACGCGUUAAGUGAACCGCCUGGGGAGUACGGCCGCAAGGCUA